rnacentral:tRNA from 1 species
ACUAUUUUGACAGAAAAAAUGUGAUGAUUUUAGAAGUCAUUAAUAUAUAAUUUAUUAUAUAUAUAGUA